UAGCGUAGGGGCGUAGCGUUGUCCGGAAUCAUUGGGCGUAAAGCGCGCGUAGGCGGCCCGGUAAGUCCGCUCUGAAAAGUCCAGGGCUCAACCCUGGAAAAGCGGGGUGGAUACUGCCGGGCUAGAAUCCGGAAGAGGCGAGUGGAAUUCCUGGUGUAGCGGUGGAAUGCGCAGGAUAUCAGGAGGAACACCAAUAGCGAAGGCAGCUCGCUGGGACGGUAUUGACGCUGAGGCGCGAAAGCGUGGGGAGCAAACAGG
rnacentral:rRNA from 1 species